AAAGCAGUUCUAGUGGUUACAACCCAACGGAAAAGCUUAAAGGACUUGAAGCAAAGAAAUGAAGUUACAUUUUGUUUAUCUCUUCUUCAUACUACUAGGCGUUUUUGCCUUGAAAGCAGAGGCAAAACCUAAACCUUGCAUUGAACCAGAAAGAAAUAAUCGCACACCUUCAGUACGGGAUUUAAUUACGGAGCUGUUAAAGGAUUUGGAGAACAAAAAAUAAAAAUAAAUGGUUAUAUGUACACUUCUACGUUACAACGAUUUUUUUCUGACUUAUGAAGACUUAUGUUUUGAGAUCGCACAAUUUAGACUCCGACUUGUUUUUUUUUUUUUGUAUGUAAUGAAGGCUGUUGUUAUAUAUAUGAAAACAUUUAUUUAUAUAAAAGUAAUUAUAUUGAGGAUGAAUAUCUAUAUUUAAUAAUUAUAAUUCGUUGUAAUUUUUUUUUAAUUUUAAGUUAGAUAGAUGUUUAUUAGUGUUAAGAAAAAUUAUAAAAAAAUGAAUCGGUAGAAUAACUCCUUGUUGAAGAAGAAAUAACGGUUUGGCGUUCCAACAUUAUAAUUCAUAAAAAGAAGCGAAAGCUCUGGAAGUGAGAUGAAAUUUUUUAAAAAUGUUAAAAUUUGCAAAGGGGGACUACUUUAAAUGAUGCAUUUACAUUUACGUUUCAAAAGAAAUAUUUGUGGCCAGAAUGAAACAAGAGAUAGAGGUUCGAUUAGAAUUUAAUUACAAAAUAUUCACUUUAGGCUCAGACGGCCAUAAAAUAGAUAAAUGGUUAGUGUUUGUCAUUGAAAAUUACACAAAGGAAUUUUUAAUUAAAAACUGUAGUUUUUAUAACGAACAGAAGAUGUUACUUUCCCCUAUAUAAAGUCGAGCGUUUCAAAACAAUUAGUACACAGUAUUUAAACACACACCGGCUGAAACAAUGAACCUGAUUAAAACUCAGUGAUGUAGACCCACGAGAUAUACAUACAUAUAUACAUUAUAUGAAUAAUAAAUAAUAAACUAAAAUCGUAAAAGUCUCAUAAAAGUCUCAUAAAAUAGAUAACGGUUAAGUUUGUGUCACUGAAAAUUGCUCGAAAGAAUUUUCAAUUAAAAACGUUAGCUUCCGCUAUGGAAAAUUAUUGUUUUCGCUUAUAUAAGGUCUCGAGUUUCAAAACAAUCAGUGCAAAGCAUUUAAAACCUCUCCGGCUGAAAAAAAUGAAGAUAAAAUUUACGCAUUACUUUCUGUUAUUUAUCUUCGUGCUAUUUUGCUUUAGUGCAUUAACAGAGGGUAAGGUGAGCAAUAAUAGUGGAACUGUACAGAAUACUUGAAAUAUUUAUUGACUCCUUAUUUUUCUAAGCAGUUUGUGUUUUCUCUCCCUGGUCCUAGUCCAUUACUGUGGCUUAUCAAAGC